rnacentral:rRNA from 1 species
AUUGAACGCUGGCGGCAGGCCUAAAACAUGCAAGUCGAACGCGUGGCGGACGGGUGAGUAAUGUCUGGGAAACUGCCUGAUGGAGGGGGCUAACUACUGGAAACGGUAGCUAAUACCGCAUACCAUCGGAUGUUCCCAGAUGGGAUUAGCUAGUAGGUGGGGUAAAGGCUACAAUAGGCGACGACCCCUAGCUGGUAUGAGCGGAGGACCAGCCACACUGGAAGUGAGACACGGUCCAGACGCAUACGGGAGGCAGCAGUGGGGAAUAUUGCACAAUGGGCGCAAGCCUGAUGCAGCCAUGCAGCGUGUAUGAAGAAGGACUUCGGGUUGUAAAGUACUUUCAGCGGGGAGGCGUUACCCGCAGAAGAAGCACCGGCUAACUCCGUGCCAGCAGCCGCGGUAAUUC